rnacentral:lncRNA from 1 species
GUCCCUAGUGUUGACAGUGGGUUACUUGCCAUUAAUUUGUAUACCCCUUCCAAAUUUAUUUCUCCAUGUUUAAUGCCUCAAAUUGCAAAUACGGGGGUGAAUUACACUGUAAAAAAAUUUGGGUCCAGAAUUUUAAAGGAAAGUAGUGAUUUGGUCCAUCUGAAAAAGGUUGAAAAUUAGCACUUCGGAAGCUGUCAAAAGAUUUCAAGACGCCCUAAACAAAAAAUUGUCCAUAUUUUGAGUUAGAGCCGAUGAAGUUUUCUAUAAUUUUGAUAUAAUUUGUCCCAAAAGUAGUACAACAC